GAUGAAGAACGUAGCGAAAUGCGAUACGUAAUGUGAAUUGCAGAAUUCAGUGAAUCAUCGAGUCUUUGAACGCACAUUGCGCCCCCUGGUAUUCCGGGGGGCAUGCCUGUCCGAGCGUCAUUGCUGCCCUCAAGCACGGCUUGUGUGUUGGGCCUCCGUCCUCUUCCCGGGGGACGGGCCCGAAAGGCAGCGGCGGCACCGCGUCCGGUCCUCGAGCGUAUGGGGCUUCGUCACCCGCUCUUGUAGGCCCGGCCGGCGCUUGCCGACACAUCAAUCUUUUUUCCAGGUUGACCUCGGAUCAGGUAGGGAUACCCGCUGAACUUAAGCAUAUCAAUAAGCGGAGA
rnacentral:misc_RNA from 1 species